GGAUUAGAUACCCUGGUAGUCCACGCCGUAAACGAUGAGUGCUAGCUGACGGGUUUUCGGACUCGGUGGCAAAGCUAACGCAUUAAGCACUCCGCCUGGGAAGUACGGUCGCAAGAUUAAAACUCAAAGGAAUUGACGGGGACCCGCACAAGCGGUGGAGCAUGUCGUUUAAUUCGAAGCAACGCGAAGAACCUUACCUAGACUUGACAUGCCUGUCAUACUCUCCCGAAAAGGAGAGGUCAUUUCGGAUGGACAGUGCACAGAUGUUGCAUGGCUGUCGUCAGCUCGUGCCG
rnacentral:rRNA from 1 species